CCACUUUGAACUCACUUCUUGUAUUGCCUUGGGAGACAUCUGGCCAUUGGUACUCAUUUCUGUUCUGGGUCGAAGGGACCUCACCUUCUUUUCCACCAGCCAUGAGACAGGAAGGCCUCAACUGGUAUCCCUGAAAGGGGGAGAGUUGGACUCUUGCCACAAGUCAGGUGAAGGCAUUCUCAUCUCCUCAGAGGCUUCAGAGCUUCUCCAUUUCAUAGACAACCAGGGCCCAGUGCACGUGAUCCAGAAAUAUCUUGAGCACCCUCUGCUGCUUGAGCCAGGUCAUCGCAAGUUUGACAUUCGAUAAAGAAAUGGGGGCUCAGAGCAGUCAAGAACAUGCCCCAAGUUAUUCGUCAGUGAGGCAGAAAUUGUGGUGUCCUUGUGUAAGUUCACAGUUUAUACUUUACCAUUAUACUGUGCUCCAAAUUAUCUGAUAUUUACUUUCAAAGCAUGUGUAGGAAGUUUACUAUGAUGAUGCAGAGACAUUGUACAGAAUCCAGUCCCUUGACUCUCAGGUCCCCAGAACACUCACUUCACGAUUUUGUUGACCUCUUAUGUCAACUUAAACCUGGCACUCUCUUGGCUUUCUCUGCUCUUUCUGGGCACUCCAAAGCUUCUGUACUUACAUGCUACAACUCCAGUCACAGGAAGAUGCUGAGUUCUUUAGUCCCAGAUCCAUAUUCCUGAGAAAACCUAAUUGCCUAGGCUCAGGUCAUAACUCUGUGUCUGUUUCAGUUGAUUAUGGCUGGGCCUACUGCCCCUCUGUAUGGUGGUGGGGCAGAAGUUCCCAGAGAGAGGCAGGGGUGACAGAGACUGUUGUCUCAAAUGCUAGGCAGACAUCUGGAGUGGUAACCACUACAUCUGUUCACAGUGAGCACAUCCUUGCAGGGAAACUGGGUUAAUCAUCUCUAUUAUUGAAACUCAGAGGUAUAGUGUUUCUUCAUAGGAAUUUUCUUUCCUUAUUUGAGAUGGGGGUCUCACUUUGUUGCCCAGGCUGGAGUGCAGUGGUGUGUGAUCUUGGCUCACUGCAGCCUCCCCUCCCGAGUUCAAGCGAUUCUCCUACCUCAGCCUGCUGAGUAGCUGGGACUACAGGCAUGGGCCAACAUGCCUGGCUAAUUUUUGUAUUUUUCGUAGAGACAAGUUUUCACCAUAUUGGCCAGGCUGGUCUUGGACUCCUGACCUCAGGUGAUCUGCCCACCCUGGCCUCCCUAAGUGCCGGGAUGACAGGUGUGAGCCAUCGCGCCCAGCCUAUUUAUAGGAAUUUUCUGUAGGUAUAUAAGUAAUAAUUUGAAGGUCACAACUAGAUGACUUUUUGUGUAACCGUAUCUUGAAUGGAACAAACAUUUUCUUUCUACGUAAUUAUACAUAAAUAACCCAAUGCUUUUUAAUACCCACGAAAAGCCAUUAGCUCAAAGACACUUGCAAACUUGUAUCAGGUUGUUUUCCUUGGUGUGUAUUAAGUUUGAAGCAAAGGGGAUUUUCACAUACCAAGACGAAGCAGAAGUCUUCCACCAAGUUGAAAUCAUCACGUUGCAAUUUAAUCAUAUGAUACAACCAAUUUUUUGAUGUGUUAUGCCAUUCGCCAAAUACCAUACAAAGUACGGUAUGCCUUCUCAGUGCCUUGUUAGUAAUUCAGUUACAGUUCUGCCGAACUUUCUUUAAAGGAAUACAAUUCUCAAUCUUACACUGUUCAGAGCACAAGCAUAGCUUAUUGUAUGCAAGAGAUGUGCAUCAGUUCCCACUCCUCAGGGACUGUAUGAAUUUGGCUUUAUUUUUUUGACAGAGUCUCACUCUGUC